AUGUUCCAUUAGCAUAUACUUUAAAAUUAAAACCAUACAGAGAAGAUUAUCAUGGCUCCACAAAAAUGACAUGAAAAUUCUCGAGCAAGGUUACCUUUAU
rnacentral:snRNA from 1 species